rnacentral:misc_RNA from 1 species
AAAAAUGGUCACCCCAUAAGCCAAAUUAACUCUCUCUCCUUGACUCACAAUCUGCACAGGGAAAAGGCAAGUUCCACGGGAGGCAUUACGAGUGACAAUGGUACCCAACCCAUUGAAAUCGCAGGCCUCAACGUCUUGACUAUUCAUUUGGAAAUACAUAUUAAAAGCAUAAGAAGCAUUGCCUCUAAGGUCCAAAUUCCCGCAGGAAGAUCCAUGGGUUAAGCUUGUACAAUCUGAAUGGUAGCAAGCAUAGCUUAGUGCACUAGGUAUCAAGCUCUCGUCCCUAACCUCAUCAUUAAGUACACACCAUUGUUUCUGCAUGUACUGAACACCCUUUGCAGCUAUUAGCAUCUUAUCAUUGCCUUGUCCAGAUAAAUCCAUAGGAAAUUUGGCCUGCCCAUCGUAUCGAAACAGACCCCAGUGCCUCUCAAAGAAGCCUGGCAAGAUGCUCUUCACGUCCUCGUCCAGCAGGCUGAAGAGAUAAACAUUUAAUAUGCCUGGUCGAAGUGGGGUUCCUUUCUUAUCUGCCAAUUUUUUGAGAAGACCAUCGUAGAAUUUCUGUGCAUACAUGGUAGUAGCAUACUGGGCACCAUCUGUAGGCCAACCAACUUCCCCAACAAUGAUCUUUAAAUCAGGAACACCAGCUUUUGUUAGAGCCCAAACAAGGGUAUCAUAAUUUGCGUCGAAAACGUUGGAGUAUGUAACGUUUUUGUCAUAUACUUUUCUGCCACUGCCUUCAAAGAAAGCGUAUUCUACAGGGAAGCCAGCGGUCUGGUAGACACUAAGGAAGGGGUAAAUGUUAACAAUGAAGGGAGCCUUGUGCUGUUGGAGAUGCUUGACGAUUUUGAGCAUUACAUUUCUCACGUUACUGCGAAAGUUACCAUCUGAGGGUUUGUUUCCGUCAUAAACAUCGGCAUUUAGGGCUACUGAGGCUUUAAUCUUGUCUCCAACUCCUACUUCGUCCAGAGCCUUUUGGAUGUUUUGUAAAGCUGGGAAUGUACUUUCAUCAUAUUUGCCUUCAUAUGCUUCCAAGAAUGGUUCAUUUCCUACCGACACAUAUCUGAUAUCUACACCCCUUUUGUCUCCAAAAUCUUUAAGAUGACUGGUGAUAUUUUCUUUAACCCAAUCUUUAGCAUUAUCAUAACUGUCAGAAAUAUAAUCUAACAUGUUAUUAGGGAUGCCAACCAUGACCUCAAUGUUAGAACCAGCCAAGGAAUUUAAGGUCCAAGAAUCAGCGUCGAAAAGCUUAACCUUUGUUAUGCCAUUGUCUUUUAACAUUUUAACCGCAAUGUCAGGUGGCAAAGGAUGCGAAGCC